UACGUAGGGUGCAAGCGUUGUCCGGAAUUAUUGGGCGUAAAGAGCUCGUAGGCGGUCUGUCGCGUCGGCUGUGAAAACCUGGGGCUUAACUCCGGGCUUGCAGCCGAUACGGGCAGACUAGAGUUCGGCAGGGGAGACUGGAAUUCCUGGUGUAGCGGUGAAAUGCGCAGAUAUCAGGAGGAACACCGGUGGCGAAGGCGGGUCUCUGGGCCGAAACUUACGCUGAGGAGCGAAAGCGUGGGGAGCAAACAGG
rnacentral:rRNA from 1 species